rnacentral:rRNA from 1 species
GAUGAACGCUGGCGGCGUGCCUAAUACAUGCAAGUCGAGCGAACAGAUAAGGAGCUUGCUCCUUUGACGUUAGCGGCGGACGGGUGAGUAACACGUGGAUAACCUACCUAUAAGACUGGGAUAACUUCGGGAAACCGGAGCUAAUACCGGAUAACAUAUUGAACCGCAUGGUUCAAUAGUGAAAGGCGGCUUUGCUGUCACUUAUAGAUGGAUCCGCGCCGUAUUAGCUAGUUGGUAAGGUAACGGCUUACCAAGGCAACGAUACGUAGCCGACCUGAGAGGGUGAUCGGCCACACUGGAGCUGAGACGCGGACCAGACUCCUACGGGAGGCAGCAGUAGGGAAUCUGCGGCAGAGGGCGAGAGCCUGACGGAGCAACGCAGCGUGAGUGAUGAAGGUCUUCGGAGCGUGAAGCUCUGUUAUCAGGGAAGAACAAAUGUGUAAGUAACUGUACAGAACUUGACGGUACCUGAACAGAAAGCCACGGCUAACUACGUG